AGCCUGAACGCUGGCGGCGUGGCUAAGACAUGCAAGUCGUACGGGUGUAGCAAUACACCAGUGGCGGACGGGUGAGUAAUGUAUCGCUAACGUACCCCGGAUUCUGGGAUAGCUGCCCGAAAGGGCAGGUAAUACCGGAUGAUAUAUCCUUUUCGCAUGAUGAGGAUCUCAAAGGGAAACCGUUCUGGGAGCGGGCGAUAUCGUAUCAGCUAGUUGGUGAGGUAACGGCUCACCAAGGCGACGACGCGUAGCCGGACUGAGAGGUUGGCCGGCCACAUUGGGACUGAGACACUGCCCAGACUCCUACGGGGGGCUGCAGUAACGAAUCUUCCGCAAUGCACGCAAGUGUGACGGAGCGACGCCGCGUGUGGGACGAAGUCCUUCGGGAUGUAAACCACUGUCAGGGGUUAGAAAGUUCUGAUCAACCCCAGAGGAAGGCACGGCUAACUCUGUGCCAGCAGCCGCGGUAA
rnacentral:rRNA from 1 species